UAUGUAGGGGGCUAGCGUUGUCCGGAAUCAUUGGGCGUAAAGCGCGUGUAGGCGGCCCGGUAAGUCCGCUGUGAAAGUCCAGGGCUCAACCCUGGGAUGCCGGUGGAUACUGUCGGGCUCGAGUCCGGAAGAGGCGAGUGGAAUUCCUGGUGUAGCGGUGAAAUGCGCAGAUAUCAGGAGGAACACCAAUUGCGAAGGCAGCUCGCUGGGACGUAACUGACGCUGAUGCGCGAAAGCGUGGGGAGCAAACAGG
rnacentral:rRNA from 1 species